GACGAACGCUGGCGGCGUGGAUUAGGCAUGCAAGUCGAACGGUAUCAUCCUUUCGGGGGUGAGAGAGUGGCGAACUGGUGAGUAACACGUAGGUUAUCUACCCUCAAGACGGGGGACAACCCAGGGAAACUUGGGCUAAUACCGGAUGUGAGCAACUUUUUAGUUGUUUGAAAGGUGGCGUAAGCUGUCGCUUGGGGAUGAGCCUGCGUCCUAUUAGUUAGUUGGUGAGGUAACGGCUCACCUAGGCAAUGAUAGGUAGGCGGCCUUAACGGGUGGUCGCCCACACUGGGAUUGAGAUACGGCCCAGACUCCUACGGGAGGCAGCAGUCGAGAAUAGUCUACAAUGGUCGGAAGACUGAUAGUGCGACGCCGCGUGAACGAUGAAUCCCUUCGGGGUGUAAAGUUCUUUUAUAUGUGAGCAGUGCUUCUUAUAUUAACAGUAUGGGGAGAGAGAUAUUAGCAUAUGAAUAAGCAACGGCUAACUCCGUGCCAGCAGCCGCGGUAAACCUCGU
rnacentral:rRNA from 1 species